CUAUCUUUUCCUUUUAUUUUUAUCUUUGUUUUUCUGUAUUUCUUUAUCCUUUUCUUUUACCUUUCCUUCCAUCCUUGUUCUUCUUUACUGUUUCUCUAUCUUCAUAUUAAAAAAAAAGCUGCCUUGAUAGAUUUGAAAGUAGCUAAACAAAUUUCAUGCAUUAGAUAUUUAUAUAAUCUGCCAAUUUAGAUGUUAAAAAUUAGCAUAUUCUACUGUUAAAAAGCUUAUAGAUAUAUGAUAGAUUUAACUUUUAAUGUAUUACAGAAUUAGUGGUACACAAUUUAUUAUGUGAAAUCUUUAUGAAAAUGUGAAAAGUUUUAAUGUAUUAAUUGAGAAACUUCAUGUAUUAAGUGUUAGGGGAUGAGUGUGAGGGAAGAUUACUGUGAAGAAAGAACCAGGUGUAAGGUGAAGGAAGUUUGCAUUAAUCAGGUGUGAAGUAAUAAGUGAAGGAAGUUUACUGUAACCAGGUGUGAAGCAAUAAAGAGAAGGAAGUUUACUGUAAUCAAGUAUGAGGUAAUUAAGUCAAGUUAGGUGAAGAAAGAACCAGAUAUAAAGUAGUGCAGUUGAAUUAGAUGAAGAAAAAAUACCAGGUGUAAAAUUGUGAAGUAAGGUGAAGGAAGUUUAAUGAAUGUGAGCAGGUAUGAGGUAAUUAGGUUAUUAGGUUAAAUAAAUCAAGAACUAAAUAUGAGGUAGUGAAGUUAGGUGAAAGGUGAAGAAGUUAACUAUAAACAGAUGAGGUAAUAAAAGAAGUUAGGUGAAGGAAGAACCAAGUGAGAUAGUGAAGUUAGGUGUAAGGUGAAGUGAGCAGGUAUGAGAAGUUAGGUUAGAUGAAAGUUUAGGUGAGAGAAGGUACCCAGAUGUGAGGAAGUGAAGUUAGAUAAGGUGAAGGAAGUUUAUAAGCAGGGAUAGUCAUGUUUAUUGGUCUUUUUUUCAUAUAUUUUCUUGCCAUUACUGUAUAUAUGAAAAGUGAGGUAGAGGUUCCUUGGGUGAUGAUAGGUUAGGUUAGGUGAAGGAAGUUUUUGAGGAAAUGAAGUUUAUUAUCAGGUACUGUCACCAUUGUGCAUUUUUUCUCUUGCGUUUGACUCGUACAGAAGAAAAAAAAUACUAGAUAGAAGUUUCUGGGGUGAUGUUAGGUUAGGUGAAGGAAGUUUUUGAGGAAGGAAGUUUACAAGUACAGACUGUCACCAUAAUACGCAUUUUUUCUCUUGCGUUUGACUGUUGCACAAGAAAAAAAAAAUACCAGAUGAAAGUUUUUGGGGUAAUAUUAAGUUAGAUUAGGUGAAGGAAGUUUUUGAGGAAAGGAAGUUUAUAAGCAGGGCCUGUCACCGUUAUGCUCUUUUUUUCUCUUGCGUUUGAUCCGUGCACAAGAAAAAAAGGUGCAAGGUAAAAGUUUGAGUGAUAUUAGGUUAGGUUAGGUGAAGAAACAUUUUGAGCCAAGGAAGUUUAUGAGUAGGACCAGUGACCAUAAUGCACCUUUUUUUUUUUUUUUUUUUUUUCUCCCAUGUUUGACCAGUGCACAAGAAGAAAGAGGCAAAGUAGAGAUUCCUGGGGUUGAUAAUUAAGUUCGGUUAGCUGAAGGAACAUUUUGAGGAAAGGAUGUUUAUGAGUAGGGCCUGUUGCCUUAAUAUGCUUUAUUUUCUUUUGCCCUUAACCAGUGUCCCUAUACAAGAAACAAAAGGUGCAAGGUAGAGGUUCCUUAGGUGAUAUUAAGUAAGGUUAGAAGGAACAUUUUAAUUAAGAAUAAGGCCUUUUUUUUUUUUCCACAUAUAUCUUUGGUGAGUGCCCUUGUAUAAAAAAAAGUGAGGUAAAAGUUCCAUAGGGUGAUAUUGAGUUAGGUUAGAUAAAGGAUUGUUUUACGGAAAGAAAAUUGGUUAGGUGAAGGAACAUUUUAACCCUUCAGUACCGUGACGCAUUUUCACGUUUAUUCUGGUUACUAUUUGGUGAUUUCAUACAGUUCCAGAACUUGUGUGGGGAUUAAAAUGGUGAAGACUGGUCAUUAAUCUUCUGACCUUCCAACUGUCAAUAAAAUAAUAUAAUCAUAGCCUAAACUCAAGGUAAAAAAUCGUCCCAGUACUGAAAGAGUUGAGUAAAGGAAGUAUCAUACAUAAGCAGAGCUCUAUUUUUUUCCACACUUUUCUUUGGCCAGUGCUGGUCUUGUAUUAAAAAGCAGGUACAAGUUAGAGAUUCCUGGUGUGAUAUGUUGUUUGUUCCAGGUUAAGCAAGGAUAGAAAGCACAGUGUAGAAGCCAUUAAGACUCCCUCCACAUGAAACCACUGCUGGCGACUGACGAUAGCUAUUGAAGGGGUUAAUUACUAAGAGGACAUGAAUUUGGUUUAACAUGGAGUGUAUGGUUAACCCUGCCACUGAGGUAACCUGGUGGCGGCAAACAGGGGACGUCAUAUGGAAGGAGUCUUGACACUUCUACUGCUUUCUGUCUUGUGUUGCUGAGUUACUUUGCGUCCAUUUCCGAGUAAUCUAGCGCUGGAUUUGAUAUUUUUGUAUGCGUACUAAUAGGAGGGUGGUGGAAUGUCUGUUUGUGUGUGUUUUUAUAAGCUAUCAAAAUGAAAACUGAUAAAAAAAUGAAGGUUAACAAGUGGACUCUGCUUUAAUGAAAUAGUGAAGUGAAAGGAGAAAUUAAUGUACUUAUGCUUAAUUUUGACUAAUGUUAGUGUGAUCUUUAUUUCAACAAUCUGUAUCUUGUCUAAACAUUUAAGAUAGUUAUAAUCCUGCCUUGAAAUUUUUAAGUCCUCAUUGUUAGUAUUAGUGGCAAAAGAUGGGAGUUUAUGAAGAGAAGUGUGUUGGCAUGUUGAGGUGUUGUCCAAUGUUGAGAGCUACCCAGAUGUCAUGUGUUGCCUAUAACCUGAUGAAUGUGUCGUACCUGCUUCCCUAACCUAACCUAAUCUAACCUAACGUGAAUUUUUUACUUAGGGAAUAUGCAUUAAGUCUUUUAUGUAUAGCUUACUCCAUCAAAUCUCUAUUUCCUCCUAAUCUAACCUAGUCUAAUCUAACCUCACUUGAAUUUUUACUUAGGGAACGUGUAUUAAGUCAGUUACCCAUUGCUUACUCCAUCAAAUCUCUUUAUUUACUUCCCUAACCUAACCUAACCUAAUCUAACUUAAUCUAAUAUGUUCUGUUCUAAUGUAACUUGAAUUUUUACUUAGGGAAUAUGUGUUAAGUGUGUUACCCAUUGCUUACUUCAUCAAGCCUUUUUAUUCUCUUCCCUAACCUAACUUAACCUAACUUAAUGAAACCAAACCUCUUUACUUAACCUGAUUAUUUAUUUAUGUAUUUUAUUUAUUUAUUUAUGUAUUUUAUUUAAUUAAUAUUUUCUGCCUAGGGAACAUGGAUUAAGAUUGUUGCCCAUAACCUUCUUCAAUAUUUUCUCAUUUUUUCUCUAACAUUAUUUAUUUUAUUUAUUUAUUUAUUUAUUUAUUUUUUUGUACUUAGGGAACAUGUAUUGAGUUUGUUGCCUAUACCUCAUCAAAUCUAUUCUUUCCCUAAUCUAACUUGACAUUUCCCGAACUCAACCUACCUUUCCCUAACCUAAUGAUUUUUUUCCCCAACAUAACUCCAUCAAACCUUAUUUUCCUUCCCUAACCUAAUUCUUGGCUGAGAGAUCAUCUUACCUCAUUCCCUAACUUAACCUUACCUUACCUUACCUUAACCCAAUCCAACCCAACCCAACCAAAUCCAGUCCAAUCUAAUCUAAUCCAACCCAACUAAAUUUUUAAAUGGUAAUUCUAUAAAGGGAAAAUUGUAACAGUAACUGCUGCUCUCCUAAGUGUUUAAGGUGUUUGGAGGCUGCUAUUGAGCUUGUUUGCCUUAUGGUGUGUGUGAUGCUGAGCUGUAGGGAAGGAUAAAGGGCUGAGAGGUGCAUAAGAUUCUUCAUUGCUUGUUUACACUAUUCAUUGUCUUGUAUUUACUGUAUUCACCAAGAAAGUUUUAAGUCAAGGUUUUUCAUUGUUUACGUACACUAUUCAUUAUCUUUAAGAAAUUCGUAAGCUAGAAUUCAUCAUUGCUUAUUUUACACUAUUUACUAUCUCAAAUUUUGUAUGUCAUGUUAAUUUUACCUAUUUUUUCUCAUUCUUUCUAUUUUGCCUUUUUUUUUUUCCAUCAAAACUCUUCAAGCUUGUUCUAGUUUUACUCUUUUCCUUGUCUUCCUCCAUUAUCUCUUACUUCUAUUCCCAAACCAUCAUAAACCACAUUCUAGUUUACCCACUGUCUGUUCUUCCACUGUGUUUUCCCCCAAUUCUCUCCCUCUAUCAAUUCUUUCCCUCCCAAAUAAACCACUUCAAGAAUGUUAGACUACUGUAAUAAUGUCACUGCUUAUUUGGGUGUAGUGGUGUGGUAAACUGGCUGCCUGUUGCUACUCCAUUCUCUCGUGUUUUCUAGAUGACAAGGAAACGGGGGAAUGGAAUCACGUGGGUUGAGUCUUCUGGUUGUGGCUACUGUAAGGGAAAUGUAUGUAGAGGGAGAGGAAUUGUGUGGGAGAUUGUAAAGGUUAAGUGGAGUGUACUUGCCCUAUUCUGAAACACUUCUGUCACAUUGCCACUUUUGAUAGACUAGUUGAAGUGGUGCUGGUUUUUUAGCUUGUGAGUUUCUAGUGACAGAUUAAUGAGCUUUCUGCAUUAUGAACAGGAGAAACUUUGAGAACCUGGCUAAUUGUGUGGCCUUGGAAAAUGGUAAAGGUGAGAGAGCAAAGUGUUUUAAGGAUGUUUUUAUGGUUAUAAUAAGACUAAUGGUAUUUCUGCAUUAUGAACAAGGGAAAUGGUCUUAAAAACUUGACUGAUCAUCUCUGUGGCCUUGAAAAACAGUCAUGCUGAGAGAACAGAGCAAAGUGUUCCAGAAUAUGGCCAUUGGCACUAAUGAAACGCUUCCCUCUCUCACUGUGGCCAUUUUCAAAGACUACAGAGUUCUAAAGCUGGGUUCUAGAGUAUUUGUCCUUUUGAUAAUGUAGAAAACUUAACAUGUCACUGGAAUUACAGAUACAUCCUUAAAAACCUGUCACUUCAAAUAGACUCCUUUGAAAAUAAUGAAGGUGCAGUGUGGAAGUGUUUCAGAAUAUGGGCCAUUGAUUGGUGAUGAUUGUGUUGUGUACUUUGAUGAAGCUUUGCCAUAUGUAAAUUAUAGACUAAGAACGAUUCAGUCAUUUAGCAUUUUCAUCAUGGACCUUCCCUCAGUGUGGCCAGCAUGCCUGACAAACAUUGGUGGCACAGUAAUGUUUUUAGAAGCACUGACUCUCCACAAAAUCAAGUAGAAAGAAUAGUGUGAAAGUUAUUGGGUGUAUUUUCCUACCGUUGGUCACAUGAAAGUGUUAAUGUACACGUGUAACUUUAAGGUAUACAGUGUUGUGUACUAUUUUUGUACUGUAAUUCCUGGUUCUUGUGUUUGUCCAACGCUAAACAACGCUAAACAAAGCCUGUCUGCCACUCACUACUUGCUGUGACUGAGUGGCAGGCAGUGGUGCAGUGAUGCCUCAAGUCUCUCAAAGUUGUGUUCGCUGCAUGAAUGGAGAUACAAGAUUCUCAUUAAAAUGUGAACUAAAAUGAAAUUUCUGUCUUUUACAACUCUUGGAAUUUUGAUACACUGGUCAAAUGGUAUUGGGUAGACUUGCAAUGUAGCCUAAGCAGUGUUGACCAGUGUUGCCUUUAGGACAUUAAACCUUUCACAUCCUGAACUCACUGUUGUGUUAGCUGUAAUGGGUUUAGUUUGAACAUUACAGAUGUUCAGAAAGACAGACACACUGCAUAGAGAUGAAGUUGUGCUUAAAGGUGGGCUGAGUAUACACUGAUGGGAGGACGACAGCAGAAUGUGUACGUAUACCAGUUUACCUGUCUCUAGUUGCUCGUUUAUCUUCUGUUUUUCUCCAUCUAGUUUUGCUGUUUUAUCCGUUUCAAGUACUGAAAUAUUGUGAAUUUUUAUUUACGUUGCUUUCAUCUUCCAAUUCUUGUUAUCUAACCUUGAUUUGCUAUUUUGUAGUCUUAUCUUUUUAUCUGCAUCAUUUAAACAUAACAUUGAUGUUAAAUUUUCAUCUUAGUUAUCAAUAGUUAUCAGUCGGUUAUCUCAAAAAUUCUUGUUUGUUGUUAAAUACAAUCGGUAUAGCUACCAUACUUUAGUGGUGAAGAUAGAUGCCAUCCUUGCAUCUGUUUAGUGCCUUGUGGUGUUUGCAGAUUGACUGGCAGCAGCUGAAACAAGGUCAACCAGCUGUUCCUUCACUGGCAAGCUGAAUGUGAAUGUGGCAGACUGGAAGAGAACAUUGAGACUCCAUACAUGACUGGCCAGCACUUUACUCAAGCUCUCCCUGCCUCCUUUUAUAAACACACUGAACCAAGAAGCCAUUGAAGUUUGUGUGGACUGAAGGAGAAACAGGAAGUGGUACACUUUGACAGGAGUUAAGGACAAGAAGCCACAGACCAGCCUUGUUUGGUGGUGAUCCUAUGGACUUCCAUGAAUCCUGGAGAGGAACACACACGAGGAGAAAACAGAAGACACAUGACACGACAC